rnacentral:lncRNA from 1 species
GUUUGUUCUUCAACAUUCGAAGCAGGCUCUUCUCCAUCUCAUAACUCGCCUCCAGGCAACUUGCAAAGCCAGAGCAAAGUUCUUUGAAUUCGAGAUUCUCAUAUUGGGAGAGCUUAGCCUUGUAAAGUUCAUGCUCAAGAACAGGUUGAGGUGAUGAUGAUACAUGCUUCGAUAAAACCGCUGUGGCGAGUACCGGUGAUAACUACAGCGUCCGGGUCUUCUGCUGUUGUCAAUGGACUUGGCGGGUUAGGUGUUUCCAUGGUUUCCUUGGGAGAGCUAGGGAGAUCCACUUGAUCUUCAUGUUUGUCUUGGUCCGGGUUA